rnacentral:tRNA from 1 species
GGGGGUGUAGCUCAAUUGGUUAGAGCAUUGCCCUGUCACGGCAAAGGUUGCGGGUUCGAGCCCCGUCACUCCCGCCA